rnacentral:rRNA from 1 species
UACGGGGGGGUAAGCGUUGUUCGGAAUUACUGGGCGUAAAGGGCUCGUAGGCGGCCAACUAAGUCAGACGUGAAAUCCCUCAGCUUAACUGGGGAACUGCGUCUGAUACUGGAUGGCUUGGAUCCGGAAGAGGGAUGCGGAAUUCCAGGUGUAGCGGUGAAAUGCGUAGAUAUCUGGAGGAAGACCGGUGGCGAAGGCGGUCUGCUGGGCAGUUUCUGACACUGAGGCGCGACAGCGUGGGGAGCAAACAGG